rnacentral:rRNA from 1 species
UUCACAACGGAGAGUUUGAUCCUGGCUCAGGAUGAACGCUAGCGGCAGGCCUAACACAUGCAAGUCGAACGGUAACAGGGAUUGCUUGCAA